AUUGAACGCUGGCGGCAGGCCUAACACAUGCAAGUCGAACGGUAACAGGAAGCAGCUUGCUGCUUCGCUGACGAGUGGCGGACGGGUGAGUAAUGUCUGGGAAGCUGCCUGAUGGAGGGGGAUAACUACUGGAAACGGUAGCUAAUACCGCAUAAUGUCGCAAGACCAAAGAGGGGGACCUUCGGGCCUCUUGCCAUCGGAUGGGCCCAGAUGGGAUUAGCUUGUUGGUGGGGUAACGGCUCAACAAGGCGACGAUCCCUAGCUGGCCUGAGAGGAUGACCAGCCACACUGGAACUGAGACACGGUCCAGACUCCUACGGGAGGCAGCAGUGGGGAAUAUUGCACAAUGGGCGCAAGCCUGAUGCAGCCAUGCCGCGUGUAUGAAGAAGGCCUUCGGGUUGUAAAGUACUUUCAGCGGGGAGGAAGGGAGUAAAGUUAAUACCUUUGCUCAUUGACGUUACCCGCAGAAGAAGCACCGGCUAACUCCGUG
rnacentral:rRNA from 1 species